CCCGACCCCCUGCGCGGCGUCACCCUGUGAACCUCCCCAGGGCCGGAAGGCAGCAAGGAUAAGCGGGCUCUGUCGGGUGUGCGGGGGGUCCCUUCA
rnacentral:SRP_RNA from 1 species